GGUGUUCCGUAAAUAAGCCUUCAUCUUCCCAGGCGCUGGCAGCUGACAAAGAGCAGGCAUGAGGGAACGCCUCCUCCACUGAGACUUGACUCGGAUUAUUUCUGCAUGUGGGCCCAGAAAGAUGGCAGUUUUCUUUCUUUAGGGUUCUACUUUGCCUGCUUAAGCCCAGAAGUGGGAUUCCCCACAGCAACAGAGGACCCCGCAUCACUUACCCAAGAAAAGAGGAACAGGGCGCUUUAUGAGACCUUGGAUCCGGCUCCCAAGCCUGUCCUGUGUUACACCACCAAGCUCCGGAGUUUGUGUGGGGGGAGGUGGGUGCGUGUUGUUUCUCCCGCCCCACACACUAGGUGGAGGAGUUGCAAAGGGGAUUCGAGGAGUCAGGGAACUCAGGCCCUUGUUGGCUGGA